rnacentral:rRNA from 1 species
GAUGAACGCUGGCGGCGUGCCUAAUACAUGCAAGUCGAGCGAACAGAUGAGGAGCUUGCUCCUCUGACGUUAGCGGCGGACGGGUGAGUAACACGUGGAUAACCUACCUAUAAGACUGGGAUAACUUCGGGAAACCGGAGCUAAUACCGGAUAAUAUAUUGAACCGCAUGGUUCAAUAGUGAAAGACGGUUUUGCUGUCACUUAUAGAUGGAUCCGCGCCGCAUUAGCUAGUUGGUAAGGUAACGGCUUACCAAGGCAACGAUGCGUAGCCGACCUGAGAGGGCGAUCGGCCACACUGGAACUGAGACACGGUCCAGACUCCUACGGGAGGCAGCAGUAGGGAAUCUUCCGCAAUGGGCGAAAGCCUGACGGAGCAACGCCGCGUGAGUGAUGAAGGUCUUCGGAUCGUAAAACUCUGUUAUUAGGGAAGAACAAAUGUGUAAGUAACUAUGCACGUCUUGACGGUACCUAAUCAGAAAGCCACGGCUAACUACGUA